UACAGAGGGGGCAAGCGUUAUUCGGAAUUAUUGGGCGUAAAGGGCGCGUAGGCGGCUUUGCAAGUGACGGGUGAAAUCCCUCGGCUUAACCGAGGAACUGCCUGUCAAACUGCAUGGCUUGAGACCGGGAGAGGUGAGUGGAAUUCCCCAGUGUAGCGGUGAAAUGCGUAGAUAUUGGGAGGAACACCAGUGGCGAAGGCGGCUCACUGGACCGGUACUGACGCUGAGGCGCGAAAGCGUGGGGAGCAAACAGG
rnacentral:rRNA from 1 species